CCGCUCAGAGAUCAGUACACACCCACUCUUGUGCGGGUACACACACACACACAUACACGCACUUCGGCACGCUAUUCUCUUCGAUUUCUCACUCUCCCAGUGUUUCUGGUGAGAGGCCCUCGUCGACGACUCAACGCAGUCUCAUUGCGCCUUUUUCCUGUGCUCUCAGUCGCUUCUGAGCAGCAGCAAGAUGUCCUUCAAAGAGAUGCGCCUUGCUUUUGAGGUGAGCAAGAAUAUUUACGAGAGUUCUCUCCUCACGUUCAAGGGCGUUGACGGAUAUGACGUGUACAACUGCUCUCUCCUGUUUCAGUAUAAGGGCAAGCACCACCUCUUUGGUCGAUUUGAGCGGCGGGAGAAGUCGUCGGAUUCGCGGGUGCGCCUCUUUGUGGAGACGGGGAAGGACGAAUACACUGUCGUACCGGACCAGCUCACAUACCAGUUGGAGGACCCCUUCGUUUCAAAGGUGCAGGGCAGCCUGUUUUUCGGCGGCACUCAAGUCAUCAAAAGCGGCGGUAAUGUGACGGGCUACUUCUGCGACUUUUACCACGGCAUGCCACAGCUACUCGCAUAUUACACCACGGGGCCUGAUCUCAUGAGGAGCAUCCGCAUUGUGCAACUUGCCGACGGCACCAUCGGCAUCUUCUCCCACCACAAGACGGAGAGCUCCUGCCUGAUCGGCUUCACCACCGUUAACUCUCUUAAUGAAGUUACGCGCGAGGUGAUUGCUGAGGCGAAGCCCAUCAAUAAUGCCCCCUUCCUGGACGCUUGGGGCGGCGUCAACCAGGCGUAUCUGCUCUCCAGCGGGAACAUAGGCUGCAUCUGCCACCACAGCUACCUUGACAAGGACGCGAACGGGGAGCAGCGCAACGUGUGCUGCAUCACAUCCUUUGUCUACGACCCGAAAACGAACGAUACGCACGGCUUUCAGCUAAUCGGGACGAGAGGAUGCUUUCCCGACUGCCCAUCAAAGUCGCCAUCGGUUGCCGACCGCGCGUUCGCCUCCGGCAUCGUCAUGCGCAACGAUGGCAAGUGCGACCUGUACAGCGGUCUUGGCGACACCCACGAGGGUCGCAUCACCAUUGACUACCCGUUCGAGGGGUACGGCACCGUUGUGGAUGAUUUGGUGUUUUAGAGGCUGGGACACGAACGUCGGUGAGCACCCCGUCCUUCGUAUCUCGCUGAUCCUCUUUCUUUCCCUUCGUUUGCAUUGACGGUGUUUGUAUGUGUGCUUGUCUUACUCUCCCCCCUGAGCGUCAUUGGAUGGCUUCAUUGGCCUCCCCCUCCAGCACUUUAUUGUUUGCUGCGCAUUUCUCCCAUUUUUCUGCUGUGAUUCCGCAUUUGUGCCGGUGUGGCGUUUCCUUUUCAUCUAGCUCCUCGUAAGACUGGCUGAGUAUAGCUACUCCUUCCUCUUCUCCAGUG
rnacentral:misc_RNA from 1 species